UGUUGGUGUUGCAUGCUGCAGACACCUCUGGGAGUGUGCCGACUGCUCCUUAUCUCCUGCAACAGGAAAUCAAGGUCUCUUUCUACAUCAAACUGGAAGAACUGGAAGUCUUUGGAUGUAACAAGUCAGCUAGAUUCUUCUUGCUUCAAGGAGAACCUAUCAGGCCAGGUGAAGGAGCCCUCGGCUUCCCUCCAGACAGCGCCUGCCUUUUGUGCAUGAUGAAGUUAUCCUUUGGAGAGACAGAAAGCACACUUCUGCCUUCCUCGGGCUGUGCCACACCACCCUCUCCUCUCACCUGAGCCUGCAGUUGCCUCACACCACCAGUCCUAACACAGCUCUUGGUGACAUCAAGCAAGAACAGUGCUGUCCUUAUCUCCAUUAAGGAGGGACUGUGAUGUAGCAGCCGAGUAAACUCUUUCCUCCCAA